CAAAUAUCUCUCCUAUAUUAAAUCAUUUAAGCAAGUUGUGUUUCUUUCAUCAACAUUUUACCUGUUUUUCUAUUGUGCCACAGUUWUACACAGACAAGGAAUUGCAUGUCUGCUGCGAGUUCAGCAAGUACUGAGACCAUCUUAGAAAAUCCUGAUCUCUCUGUACCAUUUCAAAUCAGUGUUUCUGGCUUGCAUUCUCAGAAGAUGUGUGUUCAAUUCAGUUGUUGGAAAGAAGUGCCAUUGCUUGCAACUCACUUUUGCUCUGACGACCUGUUGCCAGCUCCUGUAAGGCAGUAGCAACCAGAAGCACUGCUCUCUUCACGUGAAAGUGAAUAUUGUCUACAACUACACCAUCAGAAGGCAGUGCCAGUAUUGACCCCAUGUGUGAACWUGCCCUCAGGGAAGGAGAUGUGGUUUGGGUAUUUGGAAAACCAAGGAAGGACGGUUUCUGUGAAGCUGAAGUGAAUGGAAGGCAAGGUUUGGCUCCCAUGGUCUUUCAUCCAGAAGUUGAUUUUGGAUCAGCCACAAAAAUGAAAGAAGGUGUAGUGAAGGUACAGUAUUCCCAAUGUCUGUUUGAAAUAUUUUUAUGAAAUAGCUUGCUAAGGUAGAAAGUAACCUUAGUAAAUCUGUCUGUAACCUCUGUAAAUGACAGUGUCUUACACUUCCAUUUAGUUAUUUCUACACAUGUAGUCAAUGACAGCAUUGUGUUUAUCCUAUGUCARUGUUAUUGCAGCUCUCAAUUACAUUUGAUUUUUGUUUCCUUUUCUUCAUGGGUGAGUUAACUAAAUAUAAAAA
rnacentral:lncRNA from 1 species